UACGUAGGGUGCGAGCGUUGUCCGGAAUUAUUGGGCGUAAAGAGCUCGUAGGCGGUGUGUCGCGUCGGCCGUGAAAACCUGGGGCUCAACUCUGGGCGUGCGGUCGAUACAGGCAUCACUUGAGUUCGGCAGGGGAGACUGGAAUUCCUGGUGUAGCGGUGAAAUGCGCAGAUAUCAGGAGGAACACCGGUGGCGAAGGCGGGUCUCUGGGCCGAUACUGACGCUGAGGAGCGAAAGCAUGGGUAGCGAACAGG
rnacentral:rRNA from 1 species